CUUCCCCUUCUCCUUUCCUUCCCCUUCUCCUUUCCUUCCCCUUCUCCUUUCCUUCCCCUUCUCCUUUCCUUCCCCUUCUCCUUUCCUUCCCCUUCCCCUUUUUGUAGUUUUUGCACUAUGGGAUGCAUUUAAAAAACAGUUAAUGAGGUGAGGUUGGAAGGGGAGAGGGAGUGGAAGUUGAGAUGUUCCUUUAUGUAGAGGGACGAAACAGCUUUAGAAAGCAAGGAGGAUACUUUGAUGCAUUUGUAAGUGGUUUUGAGGACUGCAGGACAGUUGUUCAGCUGAUGCAAAUAACCUUUCUGCCAGAGUGGAACAAGGUGGGUUUGUCCUGCUAGGAGUCUGCCCCUCUUCUCUUUAUAUGCCCUUUAUUCCCCAUGACUCCCAGGGACCUGGCUUUCACCACAGACGCUGCAUCGAGGUUGCCCUGUCACUUCUGCCUUCGGGUGUCCAACUAGUUUGAGGUCUGGGGGCUCCAUGGGACUGUUGGACUCCCCUCCCACAGACCGUCUGUGCAAACCAAAGAAGUCACCUGGUAAUUUAAUUUGACUCCAUCUCAUGUGGUUUGGCUCUGUCAGUGCAGGGAGGAGACUCUGAGGGCAUUGGCAAGGCAGCACAGAAGUGAAUCUGACCUGACUGUCCAUAUGGAGUCUGGCACCUGCACCGGCUUUCAGCCUCCCCCAGCCUCUGUCUCAGAGAAAUAAAAGAGGCAUCUUGGCUUCUUCCUUCCCCAGCACGUACCCUGGCAAUGGAGAAAGGUCAGUAAUAGUUUUCCUUUCCCUUCUUCUUUCCCGUUCCUAUUGUCUGGCACAAGGAGCCCUUGCAAAUCCAAUUUAUGUAUUCAUUUCUCAUUCUUGAUGGUGCAGCUGAAGCACUAACUCGUGCCAUGGGGAAUGAGCAGUGGUAGAAGACCUCGGGGACCUGGAGCCAUGCAGACACUGAUGGAUUGUGCAAGUCAGGAGAGUAAAGGAGCAGCGCUCUCCAUAUUUAAAGGUGAUAGAGGCCACCAGGAAGAAACAAGUAAGAGAGCUGACCAAAUAUUCUUGAAUGCCACUGUCCAGUCAGUUUCAAAAGUGAAGUGUUCUCUUUGGCGUAACACGUUGGUAAGUUCCUUGUCUUCUUUUGGAUGCCUGUAA
rnacentral:lncRNA from 1 species